GAGUUCAGUGCAUCGGAGAGGCACCAUUCUGACAGUGCCCUGGAUGGUGGAGUUCCUGUCCAUGCUGGAUUACAUCGGCCCAUUUCUUCCUUGUUACAGGACUGCUCUGUGCCUUCUGCUUCAAAUCUACAAGAGGAUGGUACUGGGUCGAGGAGAGGAGCUAUGUUACAUUAAUCAGCUGCUCAUAGUGGCAGUAUUGGGCUGGCUCUUCCAGAAAGAGGUCUGAGUUUGGUAAGCAGCAGCUGAACACGGGCUAAACAUGACUUAAUUAUUUCAAGGCAUGAUUUGAUAGUUUGUUUCAGCUUUUUUAAUGCAUUAUGACGUGUUAGUGGUUCAACGGAUCACAAAACUCACGGUUCGGAUCAUAUUAUGUUUUCUGAGU